UACGGAGGGUGCAAGCAUUGAUCGGAAUUACUGGGCGUAAAGGGCGCGCAGGCGGUCGAAUAAGUCAGAUGUGAAAUUCCGGGGCUCAACCCCGGAGCUGCAUUUGAAACUAUUCGACUAGAGUUCAGUUAGGGAAAACGGAAUUCCACGUGUAGCGGUGAAAUGCGUAGAUAUGUGGAAGAACACCGGUGGUGAAGACGGUUUUCUGGGCUGACACUGACGCUGAGGCGCGAAAGCUAGGGGAGCAAACAGG
rnacentral:rRNA from 1 species